GGGAAAUAUGACUUAUCAUAACACUCUGUGCUGAGAAAGCUUUUGCUUUGCUUGACUGAGAUUUUCCAUAGAAUGAACUAACAUGGUCUCCACAGAGUUGCAAGGUGACCUAGUUGAAGGCACUCUGGAGAUCUAGGGUCCUGUGACCUGGCUGAAUGAGACAGGCAGCAGAAUUCUCCCACAUGAUUUGCGCUCUCUCCAAAACCACAGUAGAGCAAGCAGAACUAUUCUGGGACUCAGCUCUACACAUCUGAAAA